GUUUAAUAUAUCCCUGCUCGACUGUCUUUUGAGUGUGUCUGUGUGUUCUUGUGUGUUAAGUCACUGAUUGACAGAUGAAUUCCACACAAGCUCAGUGCCAAAGGAAUCUCCAGACAGAAAGCGUCAUGGCAACUUGCAAUCGCUUGUGGCAACAUGUCUUUAGAUGGUCUGCGAAGGAGAGAGUGUGGAAAAGGACUGGGGAAGGGAGGAGAAGGAGAUGAAAGGGGAAGAACAGCGAAAUAAUUGAGGGAAAUAAACAGAAGGAUGGAAGAAAAGAGGCGCAAAACCCAUUGUUUUUCCACACACAAAGCAGAUGAAGUCCAGCAUCCUUCAGAGCGAGUCACAUACACACGUGCGCAUUAAUCUCAAAGGUCACAGCCAAUAAAUUAAUAUUUCUUGUGUCACUUGAGCUAUUAUCACUGUAUCACCCCCCCCCUUUUUUUACUCAUCCAGUAUCUUCAUGCAUCCUGUCCUCAUAUUUUCUUUCUUUUCUCUUUCUUCUCUGCUUGAUCUGGAUGUGGUAAGGACUCAUCUCAUUGAGGCAGGACUCUCACGCAUCAGAAACUAAGCAGCUUCCCUGUGAAGGAUGACCGCAAACAGAUUAAAUCAUUUAAACAAAGCUGGAGCACCAAACACUAAUGAGAGGACAGGAGAAACCACACAGUAUAGCCAAUCAUUUCUUUAGAGACCUGAGCAGAGAUUUUCAUGGUCAGUGAAACAGGCACUUAACCUCCAGAAUGAUCAUGGUCAACCUCACAAGAUUCAACUAAAUAUUAUAAGAGUUUUCUGCCUCGCAAGCACUGGUACAUUAUUUCCUUCAAAUGUGGCUGUUAAUAUAGUUAUGAAUUUGUCACAGCUGAUGGAUAACAUGCUCAAACAUUGUGAAAGAAAAAUAUUUUCUCUCUCUAAGCACCCAAGUCUUUCUGUUAAGAAUUAUUUGUUUAAAAUUAAUCCUAAUUUGUUUUGUGGUUCUUCAAAGCUCAUAAAUUCUAGUAUUUUCGUGAAGUGAAGUGAAGAAGACGUAAUUAUUGUCAUUUUACUACAGUAUAAAGUAAAAUUGUUCUCAUUAUGAAAUAUUUAAUGUAUAUUUCUGUCUUAAGAGAAAUUAUCAUUAUUAUGAUAAUGCUUCACAAUAAAUGUACAUUUGUUAAUAG
ensembl:lncRNA